UCUGUGAUCACUCCGUUGCCCAUCGACGCUCACGCCGUGGCUUGACGCCAAGUGUUGUUGUGCAGCGCACAGCUCUGAUAAUGCUUGUUGCUCAGCCUUCUUCGGUGGCUCUCACUCCGUAGCCUGGCCAUUACAGCACUUCACAGAGUGUAGAACAUAGUGCUCACUGGUCUUCCGACGGGAGUGGCUGCUCGCCUCACGUGAUCUCUGAGGCUCAGCAGGUAUCCAUGGACACAGGCUUCACAGGGCUCAGACGUGCUCUCCUCCCCAGCGGAAAAGCCCAGGGCUCCACCUCUAACUUCAGCUCCAGGAGAGUUUCAUUUGUUCCAAAAGGGUGAAUAAGGAAGAUUUUCCGAGCCUGGACUCCCCAGCUCCCUAGAAGCACCCUUCAAGUGUUCUGCAAGUAGGUGCUUCCUAGACACCAUCACAGCCUCACUUACUGCUACAGGGGAAUGUGGACACUUUGCCAUUUUCCUUGAGUUUCUGUUUGUUUCUAAUGAAAGAGACUCCACAUGCAAAUGCAGUUCCCUUUCCCCAGGU